rnacentral:lncRNA from 1 species
AUCGAAUAUUCAUCAUAAAUAGAUGGUUUAAGAUGUCAAAAAAAUUAUUUAUUUGGUGAAUAUAAUACAUCAAAUAUUACAAAUACAUCAUUUAGUUAAAUAAAUAACCAUAAACCGAAAAUUUAUAUCCGCGCGAGUAUUCCUUAGUUAACAAAAGGAACAUGCAGAUGCAAUCCAGCAAUUACCACUACCUAACCUAACUAAUCU